UCCCGAUUUUAUUUAGUGAAACAUAGAGCAAAUAUUGCAUAAAUUUGCUCUUUGUGGUGAUAAUCAAGUGGUGAUAAAGUGUAAAAAGUAGUUUACGUACUUAAUUUGUCGUGUCAUACGCAAUAAAGAGGAGAAACAGGCGAUUCAAAAAACAUUAUCAACCGGAAAGAUCUAUCCAGGAUUUUGGAAGCGAUAAACAACGUGCAUAAAGUCAUCAAAUUCACCCACGAGGAGGAAAAGGAAGGAAGCCCAUUAACGCCAUGAGAGUCAUCCCAUACAUAUCAAAUCAUUCGUAUCAGCAUAAAAUGGCAGCUUUUCAUCACAUGAUCAACAGGAUGCAGAUGAUCCCCCUGAGCAAAGAAGGAAAAACGUAGGAGCUUCAACACAUCAUGGAAACAGCGUAGAUCAACGGAUCCAAAGAAAGAACAAUACAAGCAAUUAUCAACAAGAAGCAGAGGAACCUACGGAAAAACGAACUGACAACACUGACACCGAUCGAUGAACCGCUGAAGAGGGUAUCGGUCCCCUAUGAUCAACACAUCACCCACCAGCUACGGCUUUGACUGAGGAAAUUCGGCAUCGAUUUAGUAUUCUUCAGCAGAAGCAAUCAACUGAAGACACUGUUGGGCUCCACAAAGGAUAGAGUAGAAAUGUUAAAUAAGGCAGGGGUUUAUCAAAUUAAUUGUUCACAGUGUGAUAAAGUAUAUGUAGGUCAAACAAAAAGAUCGUUAGAUGUAACG